rnacentral:rRNA from 1 species
AGAGUUUGAUCAUGGCUCAGAUUGAACGCUGGCGGCAGGCCUAACACAUGCAAGUCGGACGGUAGCACAGAGAGCUUGCUCUUGGGUGACGAGUGGCGGACGGGUGAGUAAUGUCUGGGGAUCUGCCCGAUAGAGGGGGAUAACCACUGGAAACGGUGGCUAAUACCGCAUAACGUCGCAAGACCAAAGAGGGGGACCUUCGGGCCUCUCACUAUCGGAUGAACCCAGAUGGGAUUAGCUAGUAGGCGGGGUAAUGGCCCACCUAGGCGACGAUCCCUAGCUGGUCUGAGAGGAUGACCAGCCACACUGGAACUGAGACACGGUCCAGACUCCUACGGGAGGCAGCAGUGGGGAAUAUUGCACAAUGGGCGCAAGCCUGAUGCAGCCAUGCCGCGUGUAUGAAGAAGGCCUUCGGGUUGUAAAGUACUUUCAGCGGGGAGGAAGGCGAUGGGGUUAAUAACCCUGUCGAUUGACGUUACCCGCAGAAGAAGCACCGGCUAACUCCGUGCCAGCAGCCGCGGUAAU